UUCUUAACAAACGUUGUAACCUACUUUCCUUUUAAGGGGAUCUCAGAUAUUCAAGAGGAGUUCUGCAGUGUUAUUUCAUCAAGGCAUAAUCCAAAACAUCUAGCAAAGCCUGCAGUGACUCCAACGCUGUCCUGAAGACAGACAAACAGAUUGCACUGAAAACUUUUGAAUGGUGACCGUCAGCAAACACAGCGGGAACGCAAGGGUAAGUCAGUAUAACAGCAUGUUUAUUGAAGGCAGGGGCAGGAGAAGACAAUACACUAGUGAGAUGGGAAGUAUCCAGGUAGCGUACUGGGUAGAGCAGCUUAGCUUGGUGGAGUCAUGUGUCCCUUCCUUUCUUCCAGGUGGGAUCACUGGAGCAGAGGAUUGUGGGAGCACUGGAGAACAUGGAGUCAAUCACUGGAGAUCUGGCAGAUCUGCCAGCAGAUGGAAAGAGGAAGAGAGCACUUGCUUUGUUUUUUAUUUAUGUCACUCCAGCAGUAGCAGACCAACCGUCUCUCAGAGCAGCAGGUGCUUGUGGGUGAUAAGAACUACCUGUCAACUGGUUCACUCUCACCUGUCACACUCAGACUGCUGUGGAGUGCUAGAUACAGUCAGACCGCUGCAGUGUGUGUGUGGGUGUGCACAUCGAAUGAGUAAUACAUGUAUUAAAUAAAAUGAAAGCAAAUAAUAAAAUCAUUGCUUUAAUUAAUACCUCAAUUCAGGUUCAUUAUAUUUAUUUUCAUUAGUUAUUUUCAUUAAAUUUUAGUUUCAUUAAAUAAUUAAAGAGAAAUAAAAUCUAACAUUUUUAGUUUCACAGAG
ensembl:lncRNA